rnacentral:rRNA from 1 species
UACAGAGCCUGCAAGCGUUAUCCGGAAUUAUUGGGCGUAAAGCGUCCGUAGGUGGCUAGUCAAGUCUGCGGUCAAAGACUGGGGCUUAACCCUGGAAAGGCCGUGGAAACUGACGAGCUAGAGUGCAGUAGGGGUAGAGGGAAUUCCCGGUGUAGCGGUGAAAUGCGUAGAGCUCGGGAAGAACAUCGGUGGCGAAAGCGCUCUACUGGACUGCAACUGACACUCAGGGACGAAAGCUAGGGGAGCGAAUGGG